rnacentral:lncRNA from 1 species
AUGUGGGAAAGCGGGCCCUCUUCAGGGAAUACAGGAAACUUUGGAUCUCCUCGCCUCGUUCCUGGAAUGGUCCAGACCUGGAAGAUGCCCCGGGCUAGACACAGUGAAAGUGGGAUUACUGAGUCUGAAACCCUGGAAGCCCAGAGAAUCCCUCCAUCCUGAAGCUCCUUAAGCCACGGAGCCAUCCGGGCGACAGAGUCCAUGCUGCUCUAACUACUGCCCCGCACGGCCCCUCCAGAACGCUGGCUCGCAGGGAGGGGCCCCGGCAGAGCCUGUGCUUGCAUCGCCCUGGGAUGCUGCUCUGUAAAGAACAGGAAGCCGCAGAAAAGGGGGGAAGGACCGAGGACCCCGGGCCAGCGGCGCUUCUGCAAAUGCCCACUGCCCACCCGAGCCGCUCAGGAAGUGCUUCCUGUCUGCAGAGGGAGCUGGGCCCAGGCCUCGGGCCAGAGCUUCUCUCAGGGCAAAAUUAGAAAUGCCUGCUGCCGCCAGGUGCUCCGCAAAUAUGAGAUGCCCCCAUUUCACAGAGGAGGAGACUGAGGCCGUCUGAGGUGGAACAAUCCGACCAGCGCCACAUAGCCAGUAAGUAUCCAAAAGUGGAUCUGAAUUCCCUUUUUUUACUCCAGUCCCAGCAACUUAUCUCCUGCGCCACUAAAAAAAGUCUCAAUUGAUUUCUAAAAUUCAGUUUUAUUUUAUUUUAGUUCUGAAUUCUUUCUCUUCCUUCCCCCACACAUGGAGAAGGCAAAAAAAGCAAACCGCAAACAUACAACCACCGACCAUCCUCCCGCAUGAGCCCGUGCACAAACAGGGAAAGUGA